rnacentral:rRNA from 1 species
AUUGAACGCUGGCGGCAUGCUUUACACAUGCAAGUCGAACGGCAGCGCGGGCUUCGGCCUUGCGGCGAGUGGCGAACGGGUGAGUAAUACAUCGGAACGUGCCCGGUAGUGGGGGAUAGCUCGGCGAAAGCCGGAUUAAUACCGCAUACGACCUGAGGGUGAAAGCGGGGGAUCUUCGGACCUCGCGCUAUCGGAGCGGCCGAUGGCAGAUUAGCUAGUUGGUGGGGUAAAGGCCUACCAAGGCGACGAUCCGUAGCUGGUCUGAGAGGACGACCAGCCACACUGGAACUGAGACACGGCCCAGACUCCUACGGGAGGCAGCAGUGGGGAAUUUUGGACAAUGGGCGAAAGCCUGAUCCAGCAAUGCCGCGUGUGUGAUGAAGGCCUUCGGGUUGUAAAGCACUUUUGGCGGGAACGAAAAGGACUGUGCCAAUACCACGGUUCGAUGACGGUACCCGCAGAAUAAGCACCGGCUAACUACGUG